rnacentral:lncRNA from 1 species
UGGCUAGCUUUGGUUGUUCUCAAGGAAAUAAAGAGACAUGAUGAACUUGCAAAUUAUAAAAAUGCAAGAAGAACAUUAAGAAAAUAGUGGCGUAGAGUUAGACCAAACCUGAUAUUUUUGCUUCUAUAAUUUGCUUUGCAAGGUCAUACAGGGAUCCAAGAAGUUCAUCUCUCCGUUCACAGUAUUCUUGGGCUAGCACACCAUGGUCCUACCCACGUUCAAAUUUGGCAGUUAAUAGACCAACAGCACGAGACGACAGAUGACAUACCUGCAAAUCCUGAUUCUCUCAAAAGCUCCAUCACAGAUGAUGCGAGACUCCUGAACCAACACAAAAUCAUGAAAUAAAUAAACUUUGGCAUGCAUUGUUCAAAC